rnacentral:rRNA from 1 species
AUUGAACGCUGGCGGCAGGCCUAACACAUGCAAGUCGAACGGUAGCACAGAGGAGCUUGCUCCUUGGGUGACGAGUGGCGGACGGGUGAGUAAUGUCUGGGAAACUGCCCGAUGGAGGGGGAUAACUACUGGAAACGGUAGCUAAUACCGCAUAACGUCGCAAGACCAAAGAGGGGGACCUUCGGGCCUCUUGCCAUCGGAUGUGCCCAGAUGGGAUUAGCUAGUAGGUGGGGUAACGGCUCACCUAGGCGACGAUCCCUAGCUGGUCUGAGAGGAUGACCAGCCACACUGGAACUGAGACACGGUCCAGACUCCUACGGGAGGCAGCAGUGGGGAAUAUUGCACAAUGGGCGCAAGCCUGAUGCAGCCAUGCCGCGUGUAUGAAGAAGGCCUUCGGGUUGUAAAGUACUUUCAGCGAGGAGGAAGGUGUUGAGGUUAAUAACCUCAGCAAUUGACGUUACUCGCAGAAGAAGCACCGGCUAACUCCGUGCCAGCCGCCGCCGUAA